rnacentral:rRNA from 1 species
CGCUGGCGGCGUGCUUAACACAUGCGAGUCGAACGAUGAGGCCGAGCUUGCUAGGUGGAUUAGUGGCGAACGGGGGAGUAAUACGUGAGUAACCUAGCUUGAACUCUGGGAUAAGCCUGGGAAACUGGGGCUAAUACCGGAUACGACCAAUCUCCGCAUGGGGUGUUGGUGGAAAGCGUUAUGUAGUGGUUAUAGAUGGGCUCACGGCCUAUCAGCUUGUUGGUGAGGUAACGGCUCACCAAGGCGACGACGGGUAGCCGGCCUGAGAGGGUGACCGAUCACACUGGGACUGAGACACGGCCCAGACUCCUACGGGAGGCAGCAGUGGGGAAUAUUGCACAAUGGGCGCAAGCCUGAUGCAGCGACGCCGCGUGAGGGAUGACGGCCUUCGGGUUGUAAACCUCUGUUAGCAGGGAAGAAGAGAGAUUGACGGUACCUGCAGAGAAAGCGCCGGCUAACUACGUGCCAGCAGCCGCGGUAAUACGUAGGGCGCGAGCGUUGUCCGGAAUUAUUGGGCGUAAAGAGCUUGUAGGCGGUUUGUCGCGUCUGCUGUGAAGGCCGGGGCUUAACUCCGUGUAUUGCAGUGGGUACGGGCAGACUAGAGUGCAGUAGGGGAGACUGGAAUUCCUGGUGUAGCGGUGGAAUGCGCAGAUAUCAGGAGGAACACCGAUGGCGAAGGCAGGUCUCUGGGCUGUAACUGACGCUGAGAAGCGAAAGCAUGGGGAGCGAACAGGAUUAGAUACCCUGGUAGUCCAUGCCGUAAACGUUGGGCACUAGGUGUGGGGAACAUUCCACGUUUUCCGCGCCGUAGCUAACGCAUUAAGUGCCCCGCCUGGGGAGUACGGCCGCAAGGCUAAAACUCAAAGAAAUUGACGGGGGCCCGCACAAGCGGCGGAGCAUGCGGAUUAAUUCGAUGCAACGCGAAGAACCUUACCAAGGCUUGACAUAUACUGGACCGCAUCAGAGAUGGUGUUUCCCUUCGGGGCUGGUAUACAGGUGGUGCAUGGUUGUCGUCAGCUCGUGUCGUGAGAUGUUGGGUUAAGUCCCGCAACGAGCGCAACCCUCGUUCUAUGUUGCCAGCACGUAAUGGUGGGGACUCAUAGGAGACUGCCGGGGUCAACUCGGAGGAAGGUGGGGAUGACGUCAAAUCAUCAUGCCCCUUAUGUCUUGGGCUUCACGCAUGCUACAAUGGCCGGUACAGAGGGUUGCGAUACUGUGAGGUGGAGCUAAUCCCUAAAAGCCGGUCUCAGUUCGGAUUGGGGUCUGCAACUCGACCCCAUGAAGUCGGAGUCGCUAGUAAUCGCAGAUCAGCAACGCUGCGGUGAAUACGUUCCCGGGCCU